GAUGAACGCUAGCGGCAGGCCUAAUACAUGCAAGUCGAGGGGCAGCGCGGUAGCAAUACUGGCGGCGACCGGCGCACGGGUGCGUAACACGUAUGCAACCUACCUUCAACUGGAGGAUAGCCCGGGGAAACUCGGAUUAAUGCUCCAUAACACAGGGAUCCCGCAUGGGAAUAUUGUUAAAGCUACGGCGGUUGAAGAUGGGCAUGCGUUCGAUUAGCUAGUUGGUGUAGGUAACGGCUCACCAAGGCUACGAUCGAUAGGGGGUCUGAGAGGAUGAUCCCCCACACUGGUACUGAGAUACGGACCAGACUCCUACGGGAGGCAGCAGUAGGGAAUAUUGGUCAAUGGGCGCAAGCCUGAACCAGCCAUGCCGCGUGCAGGAAGAAGGCCCUCUGGGUUGUAAACUGCUUUUGAUAGGGAACAAAUGCCACUUGCGAGUGGAGCUGAGUGUACCUAUAGAAUAAGCACCGGCUAACUCCGUGCCAGCAGCCG
rnacentral:rRNA from 1 species